rnacentral:lncRNA from 10 species
AGUGACGCCAUCAGCCGUCGCCUGAGCCGUGGCGCGCGGGUGGCCGAAAGGCGAAAGUGAGAUUUCAAGGGCCGGGUCUGGGGCCCCGCGGGCGCGCAGUGCUGCGGCGUGUGGGGAGUACGGGGAGGCUGGAGAGGAGCCGGCCCCGGGCAGUGUGAGGUGCGGAAGCGCGGUCCAGACACUUUGCUGACGGGAGGCCGGUCCGCCAGAUCCGGGAGGUGGGGCCUCGUUCUGGACUGCUGAUUUUCUUCACAGAAAUCAUGCCGUCUGUGAAUGAAGGGAGUUAUACUUCUUAUUUUCCAAAUGGAGAUUUUAUUUUUCUUGCAUGACUUCACUGGCUAGAACCACUACUACAAUGCUGAUUAGAAGUGAUAAGAAACAGAGGCAAAUGCAGGUUAAGGAACCUCACAGUAAGGGAUAAAACUCAUAUUUUAACCUGAUCUGCCUGAUUCUGGAGCCUGCACCAUCAUUCCAUUGUCGUGCUUGCCACAUGUCUCUUUGAGGCUUGCUAAAAUUGAUAUCCAUGAGUUCUAUCAAUUCUGGGACAGAGAACAAAUUGUGUUCUGUAAGGAUGGAGGGACAGCGAGGAAUUUGCCAAGACAUUUUGGAGUUUCUGAAAUAAAACCCACUUGAUCCCUUCUAUGUUCAUCUCCUGCGCUGGAUUUGAUUCAUUAAUAUUUUAUUUCAGUUUUUAAAUCUGUAUCUAUAAAUGACAUUCACACACCA